rnacentral:misc_RNA from 1 species
CACCGCUCAAGCCCCCGGGCUUGGUGUUGGGGCAUCGCGGGCUGCGCAAGCGGCCGGCGGCCCUCAAAUGCAGUGGCGGUCCCUCCGUGGGCUUCUCCCUAACGCAGUAGAGCAUUCGGCUGUCGUUUCGGAGCCCGGAGGCGGUCUGCCGUAAAACCCCCCCGACGGCGGCAGCUUCGGCUGUCACCAUCCUCAUGG